rnacentral:lncRNA from 1 species
CAGCACACCCUCACUCCCACCCCAGCACACCCUCCCACCCCAGCACACCCUCACUCCCACCCCAGCACACCCUCACUCCCACCCCAGCACACCCUCACUCCCACCCCAGCAUACCCUCCCACCCCAGCAUACCCUCCCACCUUCAGUUUUCCCAUUGGAGUGGGGUGUUGGCAGCAACAGGAGUCACCUUGGACAAGUGCCCCAAGUCCCAGCCCGGCCUCCUCACCCACUCCCUCCAGAAGCAGCAGUCCCAGCAGAGAGGCAGCCAGGCCUCCCCUCACCCGCAGCCCCCUAAACCAGCUGGCGGUCCUCCCUGAGCUCAGCCAGCUUGCACACACUAACUAGGAAAUGGAACUGCCAAAGGCCACCUGGAGACAACUGCAGGGAAUUACCAGGCCUCAGCCUUGCUGCUUUUCCUGAUUUGGUGCUGCAUGCCCUGCUGGCACAGGCCUCCUGCCCUGCAGUUUAUCCUUCACUACAUUAUCAAGCAUCUACCAGAGGAGCCACCCUGAGCUGUGCGCCUGCAGCUGGUGGAAAGGGGAAGCCUCCAAAGCCACAGAGUCAAGAAAGGGAGCCUCCCUCUGAUAUGGGCCUGGGUGAAGCCACCUGCUCUACCAGGGCAGCUUCCCAGUGGGGAAGAGGCUUGAGAGGAGGGACUGAGCCUGGGGAAAGGAGAAGCCUGGAAAGGUGGAGUUGAGAAAAGGAAGACGAAAGACAAUGGCAACUGGGGCCGCCCCUCCCCUCAAAGGGGCCCUUCUGGGGUGUAUGGUGGGUCAUAGGCACUGAGGUGGCCCAUGAGACCAGCAUUAAGGCAGGGGUGGUGGAGAGCUCAUAGUACUCCCUAAGAACUUGCUCAUAGUAGUGGGGGGCUGCAGCCCCAGCACCAAGGCAGGAGCUCCUGGUCUUUUCAUUUUCCUGCCUCCAGCCUUGCCUCUUGGGCUAACUGCUCACAGGAGCAAUCUUCCUAAAACCCACACCUGCUUAAGACUCUCAAAGACUCCCAUUCUCACAGAACUAGCAGCCAGAGACCCAGCCCCAAGACCCUCAUGAGCUCAGCCAGCCCAGUUCCCCAGUCCCUUCCCAAUACCUGCUCCCACCCCAUUCCUUACUCUGCUGUCCUUCCUCACACGUCUGAGCCCCAGCCCAUGCCAGCCCUCUGCCUGGAGGAUGCUCGGCCCAGCUCCCACCUGUGAAGUCCCUGCUUGGUCCUCAGCAUGGCUCCCCUCCCAAGGUGAGCUCCUGUGGUGGCCAUCCUCCCUCCAUCAUGGGUGCUCCAUGCACCGUUCCCACCACUAGACUGUGAGCCACUGCAGGACCUAGGCCAUGCCUCAUCUGUGCUUAGCCCCAGGCCCUGCAUGGUGCCUGACACAUGGUAGAUACAUAGUAAACACUGAGGAAAAUGCUGAAUGAUGGCCACAAAAGAACAGACAGAUGGGCAGUCACUCCACCAUAUGGCCACACCUGUCUGCCUCACCUUGGGAUCCCCAGAGCCUGGCCCAGAGCAGGCCCUGAGGGUGCUUGUUGACUCAACAUGGGACCAUUGUUGCCUGGGGGAGUUUCUAUCACAGAUGAGGAAAUGAGUCUCCAGUGGGGACAACACCACCAGGAACUCCUGUGCCACAUUUGGCUUCCCUCGGAGCUGGAAGUCUCACCCCUCCCAGAAGCCACUCAGUGACAAUGCACAACCAAAGGACAGCAGACAGAGCUCAAACGGCUUCUCCUGAUCAGCUCUGGAGAGGCCAUCAUCAGCACUAAACCUGGCUGAGCAUUGAGCCUGGAGCGAGGAAACAUGCAUUUCUUUCUGUCUCCACACCUGAACUUCCCACUGUUCCCUGAACACAUGUCACCUUUCAACAUUUUGUACUUUUGCAUACCCUGUUUCCUCUAUGUGCAUAAGUCUCCUCUGACCACUAUAAAUUCCUACUCAUACUUCAAGAGUUUGCUCAGUUGUCACCUCCUCCACGAAGACUCCCCUGAUUUCUCCCAGAUCUCUCCUCUGUGUUGCCAGA